rnacentral:rRNA from 1 species
UGGGGAAUAUUGCACAAUGGGGGAAACCCUGAUGCAGCGACGCCGCGUGAACGAAGAAGGUAUUCGUAUCGUAAAGUUCUGUCCUAUGGGAAGAUAAUGACAGUACCAUAGAAGAAAGCUCCGGCUAAAUACGUGCCAGCAGCCGCGGUAAUACGUAUGGAGCGAGCGUUGUCCGGAAUUAUUGGGCGUAAAGGGUACGCAGGCGGUUUAAUAAGUCGAAUGUUAAAGAUCGGGGCUCAACCCCGUAAAGCAUUGGAAACUGAUAAACUUGAGUAGUAGAGAAGAAAGUGGAAUUCCUAAUGUAGUGGUGAAAUUCGUAGAUAUUAGGAGGAAUACCAGUAGCGAAGGCGACUUUCUGGACACAAACUGACGCUGAGGUACGAAAGCGUGGGGAGCAAACAGG